GGUCAGACAGGUAGACAGGUCAGAUAGGUCAGAUAGGUCAGACAGGUCAGACAGGUAGACAGGUCAGACAGGUCAGAUAGGUCAGACAGGUCAGACAGGUCAGACAGGUAGACAGGUCAGACAGGUCAGAUAGGUAGACAGGUCAGAUAGGUAGACAGGUCAGACAGGUCCGACUAAGGUCACAAGCUGUGAGAGUGUGAGGUUAACAUGGUUUCAUCAAACUCAGUCCAAAUAAAAACUAACAUUUCACAUGCUACACUCACUGUUUUUACAUAAACAUAGAAAUGCUACAAAAUAUUCACAAACUCACAACCCACACACACACACACACACACACACACACACACACACACACACACACACACACACACACACACACGUACACACACACUGUAACGUAGAGAACAGAACACACAAUGUGGGACUAAUUAGGGACGUUGUAUUGACGUGAGGGACAGACAGACAGCUAGUCUCCUGCCUGAUGUGAUGAUGUGAGGGACAGACAGACAGACAGACAGACAGACAGACAGACAGACAGACAGACAGACAGACAGACAGACAGACAGACAG
rnacentral:lncRNA from 1 species